rnacentral:tRNA from 1 species
GGCAGUGUGGCUUCGUGGAAAGAGCGCGGGCCUGGGAGUCCCAGGACCUGGGUUCUAAACCCGGCCCCGCCG